AGUGAACGCUGGCGGUAGGCCUAACACAUGCAAGUCGAACGGCAGCACAGUAAGAGCUUGCUCUUACGGGUGGCGAGUGGCGGACGGGUGAGGAAUACAUCGGAAUCUACUUUUUCGUGGGGGAUAACGUAGGGAAACUUACGCUAAUACCGCAUACGACCUACGGGUGAAAGCAGGGGAUCUUCGGACCUUGCGCGAUUGAAUGAGCCGAUGUCGGAUUAGCUAGUUGGCGGGGUAAAGGCCCACCAAGGCGACGAUCCGUAGCUGGUCUGAGAGGAUGAUCAGCCCCACUGGAACUGAGACACGGUCCAGACUCCUACGGGAGGCAGCAGUGGGGAAUAUUGGGCAAUGGGCGCAAGCCUGAUCCAGCCAUACCGCGUGGGUGAAGAAGGCCUUCGGGUUGUAAAGCCCUUUUGUUGGGAAAGAAAAGCAGCAGGUUAAUACCCCGCUGUUCUGACGGUACCCAAAGAAUAAGCACCGGCUAACUUCGUG
rnacentral:rRNA from 1 species